CUUGAUUACUACCUUGGUGUCCUAAAACGGAUGUUGGCCUGCCAGGGAGCAGCCAAGGUGAAGUUUUCAACCAGGCCGACCAACUUCAGAGUCCACUGGCUUCAAAACAGUGCUUUACAUCCUCCUUCCAACAUUAUUCACAAGCCGAUCAAGACUGAGAGAGUCACAAGUGUGUGAAACCUGUAUUCUUUCUGACUUCAUUUUCCCUGGUCGAAAUUUUUGUAGAAUAGACAAAUCAAGAAUGAUGACUUCUUAAGAUGCAGUAUUCAAGUUCAGAAAUCUAUACUCAGAUGACCUUAUGUAGGUCAUCUGCUUCUGAGG
rnacentral:lncRNA from 1 species